GAUGAACGCUGGCGGCGUGCCUAAUACAUGCAAGUCGAGCGAACAGAUGAGGAGCUUGCUCCUCUGACGUUAUCGCCGGACGGGUGAGUAACACGUGGAUAACCUACCUAUAAGACUGGGAUAACAUUGGGAAACAGUAGCUACUACCGGAAAAUAUAUCGAACCUCAUGGUUCAAUAGUUGAAUUCGGUAUUUCUUUGGCUUAUAGACUGCCCAGGGCCGCAUCAGUUAGUUGGUAAGGUAACGGCUUACCAAGGCAAGGAUGGGUAGCCGACCUCAGAGGGAGGACGGCCACACUGGAAGAGAGACACGGCAGACACUCUGACGGGAGGAAGCAGUAGGGACUCUUACGGAAGGGGGGAAUGCGUGACGGUGCAACGCCGCGUGAGUGAUGAUCGUCUUAGGCUGGGAGAACUAUGUUAUUAGGAGAGAACAAAUGUGUAAGUACCUAUGCUCGUCUUGACGGUACCUGGUCAAAAAGCCACGGCUAACUACGUG
rnacentral:rRNA from 1 species